GCAGGAUCAACCAGGUAGCAUUCCUCACAGACAUCGGUCCGCACGGCUCGAGGCCGGAACGGAACCAAAGUCGUUCGAAAAUGGCUUGGAAGCCUUUUUGUGGACAAAUAGGAGUCAAUGACUCCGUGCCCUCAUCGUUUUCUGCAUCCCAGAGCCCGAGCGAGAAUUCAUAGACCACGAAACCGACACGAAACGUGUAGAACGUGGGACACGAAUUCCGUUUCGAGUUUCACCCGCAGCCACACCGAGUUAACGGGCAGCCUAAGGCGAACAACUAGAGAUUGACAACCGAAUUCCAUCACGUAGGUACAAACACAGGAAACCGAGGAACGGCCAAUUAAAUUGUGCCAACAUUGAAGAGGAUAGCAAGGUAGGACGUCGCCGCUCAAGGCAGGGAUCCAACCAAACCGUGCUAAC
rnacentral:misc_RNA from 1 species